GACGAACGCUGGCGGCGUGCUUAACACAUGCAAGUCGAACGGAAAGGCCCUGCUUUUGUGGGGUGCUCGAGUGGCGAACGGGUGAGUAACAAGUGAGUAACCUGCCCUUGACUUUGGGAUAACUUCAGGAAACUGGGGCUAAUACCGGCUAGGAGCUCCCGCUGCAUGGUGGGGGUUGGAAAGGUUCGGCGGUUGGGGUUGGACUCGCGGCUUAUCAGCUUGUUGGUGGGGUAGUGUCUUACCAAGGCUUUGACGGGUAGCCGGCCUGAGAGGGUGACCGGCCACAGUGGGACUGAGAUACGGCCCAGACUCCUACGUGAGGCAGCAGUGGAGAGUAUUGCACAAUAGGCGGAGGCCUGAUGCAGCAACGCCGCGUGCGGGAUGACUGCCUUCGGGUUGGAAACCGCUUUCGCCUGUGACGAAGCGUGAGUGACGGUAAUGGGUAAAGAAGCACCGGCUAACUACGUG
rnacentral:rRNA from 1 species